rnacentral:misc_RNA from 1 species
GAUGAAGAACGUAGCGAAAUGCGAUAAGUAAUGUGAAUUGCAGAAUUCAGUGAAUCAUCGAAUCUUUGAACGCAUCUUGCGCUCCUUGGUAUUCCGAGGGGCAUGCCUGUUCGAGCGUCAUUUCAACCCUCAAGCUCUGCUUGGUCUUGGGCCUGGCCGUGAUGGCCGGUCUUAAAAUCAGUGGCGGUGCCGUCGCAGGCUCCAAGCGUAGUACAUCUCUCGCUCUGGAAACUUGGCGGUGCCUGCCAGACAACCCCUAAUUGUCUCUUUCGGUUGACCUCGGAUCAGGUAGGGAUACCCGCUGAACUUAAGCAUAUCAAUAAGCGAGGA